rnacentral:rRNA from 1 species
CGGGAGGCAGCAGUGGGGAAUAUUGCACAAUGGGCGCAAGCCUGAUGCAGCCAUGCCGCGUGUAUGAAGAAGGCCUUCGGGUUGUAAAGUACUUUCAGUCGUGAGGAAGGUGUUAAGGUUAAUAACCUUAGCAAUUGACGUUAGCGACAGAAGAAGCACCGGCUAACUCCGUGCCAGCAGCCGCGGUAAUACGGAGGGUGCGAGCGUUAAUCGGAAUUACUGGGCGUAAAGGGCACGCAGGCGGUUAAUUAAGUUGGAUGUGAAAUCCCCGGGCUUAACCUGGGAAUGGCAUUCAAGACUGGUUAGCUAGAGUCUUGUAGAGGGGGGUAGAAUUCCAUGUGUAGCGGUGAAAUGCGUAGAGAUGUGGAGGAAUACCGGUGGCGAAGGCGGCCCCCUGGACAAAGACUGACGCUCAUGUGCGAAAGCGUGGGGAGCAAACAGGAUUAGAUACCCUGGUAGUCCACGCUGUAAACGAUGUCGAUUUGGAGGUUGUGGUCAUGAACUGUGGCCUCCGGAGCUAACGCGUUAAAUCGACCGCCUGGGGAGUACGGCCGCAAGGUUAAAACUCAAAUGAAUUGACGGGGGCCCGCACAAGCGGUGGAGCAUGUGGUUUAAUUCGAUGCAACGCGAAGAACCUUACCUACUCUUGACAUCCAGAGAAGCUUUUAGAGAUAGAGGCGUGCCUUCGGGAACUUUGAGACAGGUGCUGCAUGGCUGUCGUCAGCUCGUGUUGUGAAAUGUUGGGUUAAGUCCCGCAACGAGCGCAACCCUUAUCCUUUGUUGCCAGCGAUCCGGUCGGGAACUCAAAGGAGACUGCCGGUGAUAAACCGGAGGAAGGUGGGGAUGACGUCAAGUCAUCAUGGCCCUUACGAGUAGGGCUACACACGUGCUACAAUGGCGUAUACAGAGAGAGGCGAGCCUGCGAGGGGAAGCGGAACUCAGAAAGUACGUCGAAGUCCGGAUUGGAGUCUGCAACUCGACUCCAUGAAGUCGGAAUCGCUAG